ACUUUGAAGAGAGAGUUCAAGAGAACGUGAAAUCGCUGGAGUGGAACCGGAGACAGUUGAUGUUGCUUGGAGACAAGUUUGGUGGCUGGUCGCUUAGUUGUGAUCGUCGCCGGAUGUCGUUUCCUAUGCUACGCCGACGGCGUUGGUCGCUCGUUCUGGCCCGACAGUGUUGCCCAGCUCGCAAGAGUCGGUGUCUUGUUGNCGGUCGUUGGUUCGUGGUGGCUAGCGUUUAGUUACGCUAGUGUGUGUGACGUCGGUGUGAAAGUCGACGACGUUUCCGACCCGUCUUGAAACACGGAUUGCGGAGUGCUUGUCUACUGCGAGUCAAAGGGUGUUAAAACCUUGCGGCGAAAUGAAAGUGAAGGUCAGUCUUGAAUUGGCCGACGUGGGAUCGGUGCUCCUCGGAGUGCUGCGCACCACGGCCCUGUGCGUGUCACUUGUGACUGUGCAGAGGUUGAGCAGUUGGCAAACGACCCGAAAGAUGGUGAACUAUGCCUGAGCAGGAUGAAGCCAGAGGAAACUCUGGUGGAAGUCCGUAUCGGUUCUGACGUGCAAAUCGAUCGAUAGACUUGGGUAUAGGGGCGAAAGACUAAUCGAACCAUCUAGUAGCUGGUUCCUUCCGAAGUUUCCCUCAGGAUAGCUGGAUCUCCGGCAGUUAUAUUCGGUAAAGCUAAUGAUUAGAGGCCUUGGGGACGUAAUGUCCUCAACCUAUUCUCAAACUUUCAAUGGAUAUGAAGUUGCAGUUUCUUUAGUGAACUGUCAACGUGAAUGCGAGGUCCAAGUGGGCCAUUUUUGGUAAGCAGAACUGGCGCUGUGGGAUGAACCAAACGUGGAGUUAAGGUGCCUAACUUCUCGCUCAUGAGACCCCAUAAAAGGUGUUGGUUGAUAUUGACAGCAGGACGGUGGCCAUGGAAGUCGGUAUCCGCUAAGGAGUGUGUAACAACUCACCUGCCGAAUCAACUAGCCCUGAAAAUGGAUGGCGCUUAAGCGAGAGACCUAUACUCCGCCGUUGCGGCAUGUGCGUUGUCUAGCGCCAGGCCGUAACGAGUAGGAAGGUCGUGGCGGUUGCUUUGAAGGCUAUGAGCGUGGGCUCGGCUGGAGCUUCCGUCAGUGCAGAUCGUAAUGGUAGUAGCAAAUAUUCAAGUUCGAUCCUUGAAGACUGAAGUGGAGAAGGGUUCCACGUGAACAGUAGUUGGAUGUGGGUCAGUCGAUCCUAAGGUACUGGCGAACGCCUUGUAUCAUCGGUGGCGAAAAGCUUGCUUUUGGUCCCCGUUUGUCGAAAGGGAAUAGGGUUAAUAUUCCCUAACUGAGAUGCAAAGAUUGUGUUCUUCGGAGCACAAGCGCGGUAACGCAUUCGAACUUGGUUAGUCGCUCAAAGACCGAGCUAGAGUUUUCUUCUCUAGUUAAGGAACGGACUCCCUGGAAUUGGUUCAGCCAGAGAUGGGGACGUUGUUUCCGAAAAGCACCGCGGUUUCUGUGGUGUCUCGUGCUCUUUGAACGGCCCUUAAAACACCAAGGGAGGCUAUUAAUUUGCACUCAAUCGUACCGAUAUCCGCAUUAGGUCUCCAAGGUGAACAGCCUCUAGUCGAUAGAAUAAUGUAGGUAAGGGAAGUCGGCAAACUAGAUCCGUAACUUCGGGAAAAGGAUUGGCUCCAGUGGUUGGAACGAUUGGCCAGUUGGUUGAUGCUUGUCCGGCGCUAUUCUGUCUGCUUGAUGCUUUCGGGCUGAUGGCGGACUAGUGAUAGUGCUUGCUUGUGGACGCUUUCUGGUGUGUGCUAGGACCUCGGUUCUAGUAUCCUGAUCGCUCAUCUAAACAACCGUACUGGAACCGGUACGGACUCAGGGAAUCCGACUGUCUAAUUAAAACAGAGGUGACAGAUGGUCCUUGCGGACGCUGACUGUCACUGAUUUCUGCCCAGUGCUCUGAAUGUUAAAUCGUAGUAAUUCGAGUAAGCGCGGGUAAACGGCGGGAGUAACUAUGACUCUCUUAAGGUAGCCAAAUGCCUCGUCGUUUAAUUGUUGACGCGCAUGAAUGGAUUAACGAGAUUCCUACUGUCCCUA
rnacentral:rRNA from 2 species